GAUGAAGAACGUAGCGAAAUGCGAUACGUAAUGUGAAUUGCAGAAUUCAGUGAAUCAUCGAGUCUUUGAACGCACAUUGCGCCCCCUGGCAUUCCGGGGGGCAUGCCUGUUCGAGCGUCAUUACAACCCUCAAGCUCUGCUUGGUAUUGGGCUCUGCUGGGACCGGCAGGCCUUAAAAUCAGUGGCGGCGCCACUCGGCUUCAAGCGUAGUAAUUCUUCUCGCUUCGGAGACCCGGGUGCGUGCUAGCCAGCAACCCCCAACUUUCUUAGGUUGACCUCGGAUCAGGUAGGGAUACCCGCUGAACUUAAGCAUAUCAAUAAGCGGAGGA
rnacentral:misc_RNA from 1 species